UUUUCAGCAGCCGCGGUAAUACGAAGGGGGCUAGCGUUGCUCGGAAUUACUGGGCGUAAAGCGCACGUAGGCGGCUUUUUAAGUCGGUGGUGAAAUCCUGGAGCUCAACUCCAGAACUGCCUUCGAUACUGAAAAGCUUGAGUUCGGGAGAGGUGAGUGGAACUGCGAGUGUAGAGGUGAAAUUCGUAGAUAUUCGCAAGAACACCAGUGGCGAAGGCGGCUCACUGGCCCGAUACUGACGCUGAGGUGCGAAAGCGUGGGGAGCAAACAGGAUUAGAUACCCGCGUAGUCC
rnacentral:rRNA from 1 species